rnacentral:rRNA from 1 species
GACGUAGGGUGCGAGCGUUGUCCGGAUUUAUUGGGCGUAAAGAGCUCGUAGGCGGCUUGUCGCGUCGACCGUGAAAACUUGGGGCUCAACCCCAAGCCUGCGGUCGAUACGGGCAGGCUAGAGUUCGGUAGGGGAGACUGGAAUUCCUGGUGUAGCGGUGAAAUGCGCAGAUAUCAGGAGGAACACCGGUGGCGAAGGCGGUUCUCUGGGCCUUACCUGACGCUGAGGAGCGAAAGCGUGGGGAGCGAACAGG